GUAGUCGUGGUCGACUGGUUAAUUAAGGCGACAGACUCGAAGUCUGUUGGGAUAUUCCCGCGCAGGUUCAAAUCCUGCCGAGUACG